rnacentral:rRNA from 1 species
UACGUAGGGCGCAAGCGUUAUCCGGAAUUAUUGGGCGUAAAGAGCUCGUAGGCGGUUUGUCGCGUCUGCCGUGAAAAUCCGGGGCUCAACCCCGGACUUGCAGUGGGUACGGGCAGACUAGAGUGUGGUAGGGGAGACUGGAAUUCCUGGUGUAGCGGUGGAAUGCGCAGAUAUCAGGAGGAACACCGGUGGUGUAAACGGCUUUCUGGACCAUAACUGACGCUGAGGCACGAAAGCGUGGGUAGCAAACAGG